rnacentral:rRNA from 1 species
CUCAGUUCGGAUUGGAGUCUGCAACCCGACUCCAUGAAGCUGGAUUCGCUAGUAAUCGCGCAUCAGCCACGGCGCGGUGAAUACGUUCCCGGGCCUUGUACACACCGCCCGUCAAGCCAUGGAAGCCGGGGGUGCCUGAAGUGCGCUGCCGCGAGGAGCGCCCUAGGGUAAAACCGGUGACUGGGGCUAAGUCGUAACAAGGUACC